UGUUGUUUUUAUUUGUCUUUAUGUCUCCUGUACAUAUCACAGUGCUUGACACAUAAUAGGUGCUCAAUAAAUUGUAGCUAAAAAAGAAUACUUAGAUUAUUCAGAGCAUAUAUAUAUAUAUAUAUACACCUAAAAAUAAUCUAAGCACUUCGCACAGAGUAGCUCAUUUAAUCGAGAACAACCUUCCUCCAUUAGUACUAUUAUUAGGUCCAUUUUACAGAUAAGAAAACGAGAUGAAUGAGAUGAACUUUUCUUAGGUCAUGCAGCCAGCAAGGGGUGGAGUUGUAAUUCCAUCUCUGUGUCUCAAAACCUGUGCUCCUUAUGUCAUGUCAUUUUGCUCUAUGUUACAGUAUGGUUGGGAGACUAGAUAAGGAAAUGAAUAUGGAAGUGCAUUUUAUGUAGUGUCAGGCACAUACUAGGAUAUUUUAUGGUAUCAAUGAUAUAAAGAACCGUGUCAGUCACAGUAAACAGGAAAGCAAACAUUCUCUUAGUUAUUUCAAACAGUGGAAAUACAAUGCAGGGAAUCGCUGUAUUAGUCAGCUAGGGCUGAUAUAACAAAAUACAACAGACUCAGUGGCUGAAACAAACAUUAAUUUUCUCACGGUUCUGGAGGCUGGAAGUCCAAGAUCAGAGUGCCAGUAAGAUGAAGUUUUUGGUGAGAACUCUCUUCCUAGGUUUCAGACAGCCUUCUUCUUGCUGUGUCCUCAAGAGCUGGGGAGAGGGAGAGAGAGGGAGAGAGACAGAUACAGAGAAAGGGAGCAAGAGAGCACUAGCUCUCUGUUGUCUUCUCUCACAAGGACACUAAUGCUAUCAAAUCAGACCUCCACCCUUAUGACUUAAUUUGAUCUUAAUUACUUCUUUACUCCAAAUAUAACCACACUGAGGGUUAGAGCCCAAACAUAUGAAUUUGAGGGUCCAUACCUACUGUUUACACAAGCGAAGGAAGAAAUGGGAUGGCAAGAUAAACCAGAGAUUAGCAACAGUGGGAAGUUAUACCACCCUUAGAACCGGAGGGACAGAGAUGGUGUCCCCAGGAUCCAGGGUCACCAGGUGGAAGAUGGAACCGUGGCAGGGGCCACAGAGGAAGGACUGGCUAGCAAGAGUAGGAGCUAUGGAGGUGACUCAAAAACUGUUGUCACAACAGAAAAAGUGAGAAGGGGCCGGCCUUCUUCCCUCUGGCCCACUCCAACCUUUUGCCAGUACCUCCCAUUGGCUGAAAUAAUCUAGAAGCCUGAGAACAAGGGAGCCUGGGAAAUGUAGUUUCGUCUCAUACAAAGCAAAGCUGAGAAUGGCAAGGACUGGACUGAGCAGACCGAGAAGACUGUUGUUAUAGCAACUGGACAUUCAGCGAGCAAGCACAAGGGCCUGAACUUUAUGAUUAAACGGCUGCUGUGAAAUUAAAUGGGACAAUACACGCAAAAUAUUUUGGACAUAUGGUACAGUUAGUACUCAGUAGGUGUUAGCAGCUAUAAUAUCAUCAUUGUUAUCAGAAUAAAUAGACAGCGUUAGCAUUUACAAAUUUACUUAUCAAGUUUUGAUUUUGAUUAUGAAGCUUCUUCGCACUUCAGAGAAAGUUUAAGACCAUCAGAGACUUCAUCCUCAAAGAUUUGAAUUUUUAAAAUGGAUUUUGACACCAGCUAUAUUCCACAGAAUAAUAAAUCUUCUCAGAAUCUCCUUCCAAGACUGCUAUCCAGCAAUCAUGUUGAGCAGUGAAACCAAAAAGACAGGGAAGGGCUCAUGGGCCAGGAACUGAGCUGCAUGGAAUGACAGACAACAAAUGAAAAGGGGUGUAAUCCGGGAAUCACCUUGAUGUUCAACAGCAUGCAUCAAGCCGAGUGACGAGACAGCUUUUUUGGCAUUGCUGGCAAGGUGAGACCCAUAUAAGUCAUGUCUAUUUAAUACAAUCUGAGCAUCAAUUGUGGCAAAGCCAAGAGCAAUAACUAACCAAGGCGAACAUGACAUUGCACCUGGAUUGUUCUAUCUCCAAGAGUAAUUUGUGACACUAUUUCAAGUGAUUCCAAUAGAACAUGUUGUUCUCUGCAGAAAUUAUGAUUUGGGAAAACAGGUUAAGGUUCAUGGCAAAUUUUGAGAUGGAAAUAGUCAGGAAUGUCAUAAGCAAGCAAGAAAUCAUUAAUACAUUCAUAACUGGAAGCCAUAAUAACUGGCAAUUGGACUUCUUUUUUUUUAAUGACCCCAAAAAUGCUUAAUAUAGAAACAGGCAAGUCAAGAAAACUAAGCCCAAUAAGUACUCAGAAACAAAAUGAGAAUCAAAUGUGUAUAAUGAGCACUAGGAUGUGGUGAGUAUGUGUUGACUUGGGAAAAGCAGUCUCAUGGGUCUGAAAGUUGGAGCCAUGGGUUGUAAGUCAGGCUGUGGGUCUGGCUCUGUGUGAUGCUGGCUAAACUCCCAAUACCAUUUUUAUCCUCAUUAAUUACCCCUCAGUGGUUUAAAAUGCUGGACUUUGGAAAGCACUUUCCAAAGAUCUAAAGAUCUAAAAAUCCUUAGAUAGAAAGAGCAAGUUUCUGAUGGAAGAACCAACUUUCUUUCCUGGGAAGCAUCCAGCCAUAAAAAGCCUAAAAAUAUCUUGGACAUCAUAUAUUUGAGCAGAAAUUCUAUUUUCCCUACUACUCAGAUUAUUCUCAUAUGUAGUUAUCCUAUAUCUUUACGGUUAAAUGGUAGUAAUGUGUGUCUGGUGAAAGAACUGAGAAAUUUCAAUUAUUCACUUCAGGGGAGCAGAAAAAAAAGGAAUGGUAUUGGGAUUGUGAGGCCUUUAAGCUUCCAAAGAAAAAUGGCUAUUCAUAUAAGAUUUUCUGAGAUUGCUGGAUUAAAUUGCAACGUUGGACUAUCUGUUGUGAAACAAAAUGUUGAUAACAUAAUUACAAUUCUUUAAGUAACA